AACAUCGCGCACCUGCGGGAACCUGCGGAGGGAUCAUUAACACUCCAAAUUUAAAAGAUCUCCAACUCGUCAAGAGUUGGGGCUCUUUUAAAACCCCCCUCUUUAUCCUCCGAGGAGGAUAAAGAGUACUUUAAGGCCCAAGUCUCUCUUGGGCAACUCUUAUCUUAUUAAAGAGGUAUAUCUCAUUGAAGGGGACCUCCUUUGAGGGGGUUCUCUAAAAUGGGGUAUAUGAACCCCUUU
rnacentral:misc_RNA from 1 species